rnacentral:rRNA from 1 species
UGAGGAAUAUUGGUCAAUGGACGAGAGUCUGAACCAGCCAAGUAGCGUGAAGGAUGAAGGUCCUACGGAUUGUAAACUUCUUUUAUAAGGGAAUAAACCCUCCCACGUGUGGGAGCUUGUAUGUACCUUAUGAAUAAGCAUCGGCUAACUCCGUGCCAGCAGCCGCGGUAAUACGGAGGAUCCGAGCGUUAUCCGGAUUUAUUGGGUUUAAAGGGAGCGUAGGCGGACGCUUAAGUCAGUUGUGAAAGUUUGCGGCUCAACCGUAAAAUUGCAGUUGAUACUGGGUGUCUUGAGUACAGUAGAGGCAGGCGGAAUUCGUGGUGUAGCGGUGAAAUGCUUAGAUAUCACGAAGAACUCCGAUUGCGAAGGCAGCUUGCUGGACUGUAACUGACGCUGAUGCUCGAAAGUGUGGGUAUCAAACAGGAUUAGAUACCCUGGUAGUCCACACAGUAAACGAUGAAUACUCGCUGUUUGCGAUAUACAGUAAGCGGCCAAGCGAAAGCGUUAAGUAUUCCACCUGGGGAGUACGCCGGCAACGGUGAAACUCAAAGGAAUUGACGGGGGCCCGCACAAGCGGAGGAACAUGUGGUUUAAUUCGAUGAUACGCGAGGAACCUUACCCGGGCUUAAAUUGCAUUUGAAUAAUCAAGAAAUUGGUUAGUCGUAAGACAAAUGUGAAGGUGCUGCAUGGUUGUCGUCAGCUCGUGCCGUGAGGUGUCGGCUUAAGUGCCAUAACGAGCGCAACCCUUAUCUUCAGUUACUAACAGGUCAUGCUGAGGACUCUGGAGAGACUGCCGUCGUAAGAUGUGAGGAAGGUGGGGAUGACGUCAAAUCAGCACGGCCCUUACGUCCGGGGCUACACACGUGUUACAAUGGGGGGUACAGAAGGCAGCUACACGGCGACGUGAUGCCAAUCCCAAAAACCUCUCUCAGUUCGGAUCGAAGUCUGCAACCCGACUUCGUGAAGCUGGAUUCGCUAGUAAUCGCGCAUCAGCCAUGGCGCGGUGAAUACGUUCCC